rnacentral:rRNA from 1 species
UUCUUCUCUUCGGAGCCAGGGACACAGGUGCUGCAUGGCUGUCGUCAGCUCGUGUCGUGAGAUGUUGGGUUAAGUCCCGCAACGAGCGCAACCCUCGCCCUUAGUUGCCAUCAUUAAGUUGGGCACUCUAGGGGGACUGCCGGUGAUAAGCCGCGAGGAAGGUGGGGAUGACGUCAAGUCCUCAUGGCCCUUACAGGCUGGGCUACACACGUGCUACAAUGGCGGUGACAAUGGGACGCGGAGGGGUGACCCCGAGCAAAUCUCAAAAAGCCGUCUCAGUUCGGAUUGCACUCUGCAACUCGGGUGCAUGAAGGUGGAAUCGCUAGUAAUCGCAGAUCAGCACGCUGCGGUGAAUACGUUCCCGGGCCUUGUACACACCGCCCGUCACACCAUGGGAGUUGGCUUUACCCGAAGGCGUUUCGCUAACCGCAAGGAGGCAGGCGACCACGGUAGGGUCAGCGACUGGGGUGAAGUCGUAACAAGGUAGCCGUAGGGGAACC